UUCGAUUGCCUCACAGCUGUGUACAGGUAGUUGUUUUUUUUUUUUACCUAGGAGCACUGAAUACGUAGAGAUAGAUAGGUGCUAGAAUAGAGCAGGACUCACGAGAUACACAUACACACAUGAAGGAAACUGAAAUCAUUAAUAUAGAGUAAACUAGUACAAUUUGACUGCGAUAAAAUGAAAGUACAUCAAUUUUAUUGUCAAAAUAAAAGAUAGCUAAGAUUGAUUUCCUCUAAAUCGCUGCCAUAUGUGCUCAACCAAGUCAUCCUUCAGUCGGCGAUGCAUAUCUUGAUCUCGAAUGUCUUCUUCUAUCUCCAGUACUUUGUAAAAUUCAUGAAUGGGUCCAUGUCCAUAUCCAGAUAAUGGUGCAGUUGAGGUCUGGUCAUAUUCGCUGUUAUAGUCAUGAUCGUAGCGUACUUUUACUUCGGUGAAUAGAGGUGAUCGAUUUAGGACGUUGAUGUCAUUGUUUGACCCGGCUGUACCAAAAAAUGCAUGCCAUAUCCAAAGGUCUUGCGAGGCAACGGCUUCUAGCAUUACGGUGGGUACUCUAUGGUCACCACGAGUAUUCUGCCCCUUCCAUGCCACUGGACAGUUUUUCCAUUGCCAGUGCGUGCAUCUCCUGAACUGGGUGAGAUUGUCUACUCCAUUUCGGUUGGUCCUUUACUGCUCUCCACCAAUGUUCAAAUGGAAAAGGUCUUUUCUUUUUGGCAACCGUUUUGUACUUUGCACGAACCUUGUCCAUGAGUUGAUCUUCAGAUUGACCGUUAGAAUAUGUGCUGCAGAUAUCGUGGUACACUCCAUUAAACUUGUUAAUAUGAGGGAUAGUCUUGUUCCAAUGUUCUUUGCACUGCAUAGCUGUUCUCUUUUUACCUCCAGGUGCAUGCUUGUUGUACUCAUCUGCAAUGUCCUUCCAAAAGCGGCAUGACUUCUUCCCAUUGCCUGAAAUUGGGUCAUUUGAAUUUUUUAACCAACAACUUACUAGGCAUAGGUCAUCCUCUUGAUUCCAAAUUAUACGCCCUCCUUUCUUUUCAGCUUCAUCUUCACUUGCAUCACUCCACUCUUCUAUGUCAACAGGAUUUGAAGGCAAUGUUGGUGCUGAAGUUGAGAAAAUGAGGUGAUUGGGCUGCUCUCUCCGCUGCCUAGAAAGAAGGCCAUUGAUCCCACCAGAGAUGCUGGACCAUUGGCCACGAAACCUCCUACACCUCCUGGCAGGUACUGCCCAAUAUUGACUGGGAAAGGGCCUCCAUGGUAGCUUACUGGUGUGGGAGACAAGCUCUGAUAGCUUGGACCUGGAAAUGGGUUGACAUUCUGUGGGUAAUGACCAUGGAAAUUUGGAUGAACAUGUGGAGGCAGGUAGUUCAGGGGAUAAUGGUGUGGCCAAAAAUUCUGGUGCUGCUGCUGUGUGUGUUUGUAUCUUGUGGAUCUGAACUAAAGAUCGAGGAGUUGAGAAAGUUUGUGAGGCUCCCUGAAGAUGACUUAUCCAUGUCAAUGGCUGGUUUGGUCGUUUGUAGUAUUCUAGUGUGUAUGCACAAGUGAGAAGAAGUUCAUGUCUAUUUGUAUGCAAAGAGAUGUCUGUAUGUGAAUUGUGACCGUUGCUACGAACACAUGAAGCCAACGGUCGUAUGCUGAAACAGUGUUGAAAUAUUAUUCUAUUUGGUUGGAGAA